rnacentral:rRNA from 1 species
AAUCGAACUCGGAGAUAGCUGGUUCUCCCCGAAAUAGCUUUAGGGCUAGCCUCGAUUUAGAUUACCGGGGGUAGAGCACUGAAUGGGCUAGGGGGCCACAAAGCUUACCGAACCCUAUCAAACUUCGAAUACCGGAUAAUUGAUGAUCGGGAGUCAGACAGUGUGAGAUAAGUUUCAUUGUCGAAAGGGAAACAGCCCAGAUCUACGACUAAGGUCCCAAAGUUCAAGUUAAGUGGAAAAGGAUGUGCAAUUGCGCAGACAACCAGGAUGUUGGCUUAGUAGCAGCCAUUCAUUCAAAGAGUGCGUAAUAGCUCACUGGUCGAGUGAUUGUGCGCCGAAAAUGUAACGGGGCUAAACUUGACACCGAAGUCUAGGCAGAAGGAAACUUCUGGGUAGGGGAGCAACGUGUACGGGCAGAAGCAGAAGCGGAAGCGACUGUGGACUGUACAGGAGAGAGAAUGCCGGCAUGAGUAGCGAGAGCAAAGUGAGAAUCUUUGCCGUCGAAAGCCUAAGGUUUCCUGAGGAAGGCUCGUCCUCUCAGGGUAAGUCGGGACCUAAGCCGAGGACAAUAGUCGUAGGCGAUGGACAAUCGGUUAAUAUUCCGAUACCGCCGAGCAACCGGAUGCAGUGACACAGAAGGAUAGGCAGAGCGUGGCGAUGGUAGACCACGUCCAAGCAGUGAGGCUGUUGUGUAGUGAAGUACGCACAACGGAAGGCUGGGCUGUGAUGGGGAACGAUUACGAUCGGUAAGCUGCUGAAUUCACGCUGGCGAGAAAAGCUGCUACGAAGCGAAGGCGCCCGUACCGCAAACCGACACAGGUAGGCGAGGAGAGAAUCCUAAGACGAGCGGGAGAACCCUUGUUAAGGAACUCGGCAAAAUGACUCCGUAACUUAGGGAGAAGGAGUGCCCAGGAAUGGGCCGCAGAGAAUAGACCCAAGCGACUGUUUACCAAAAACACAGGUCUGUGCGAAGUAGAGAUACGACGUAUACGGGCUGACACCUGCCCAGUGCCGGAAGGUUAAGGGGAAAUGUUAGGGCAACCGAAGCAUGGAACUUAAGCCCCGGUGAACGGCGGCCGUAACUAUAACGGUCCUAAGGUAGCGAAAUUCCUUGUCGGGUAAGUUCCGACCCGCACGAAUGGUGUAACGAUUUGGGUACUGUCUCAACAAGGGACCCGGCGAAAUUGUAGUAUGUGUGAAGAUGCACAUUACCCGCGAUAGGACGGAAAGACCCCGUAGAGCUUUACUGUAGUUUAACAUUGGAUUCCGGUAACAUAUGCACAGGAUAGGUGGGAGGCGGAGAAGCAGUGAUUUCGGUUGCUGCAGAGCCGACGUUGGGAUACCACUCUUGUGUUACUGGGGUUCUAACCUGUGGCCGUGAUCCGGCACAGGAACAGUGUUAGAUGGGCAGUUUGACUGGGGCGGUCGCCUCCAAAAGAGUAACGGAGGCGUCCAAAGGUUCCCUCAGAAUGGUUGGAAACCAUUCGAAGAGUACAAAGGCAGAAGGGAGCCUGACUGCGAGACCGACAGGUCGAGCAGGGACGAAAGUCGGGCUUAGUGAUCCGGCGGUAUAGAGUGGAAUUGCCGUCGCUCAACGGAUAAAAGCUACCUCGGGGAUAACAGGCUUAUCUCCCCCAAGAGUCCACAUCGACGGGGAGGUUUGGCACCUCGAUGUCGGCUCGUCGCAUCCUGGGGCUGGAUUAGGUCCCAAGGGUUUGGCUGUUCGCCAAUUAAAGCGGCACGCGAGCUGGGUUCAGAACGUCGUGAGACAGUUCGGUCCCUAUCCAUCGUGGGCGCAGGAGAUUUGAGAAGAGCUGUCCUCAGUACGAGAGGACCGGGAUGGACGCACCAAGGGUGUAUCAGUUGUCACGCCAGUGGCACAGCUGGGUAGCCAAGUGCGGAUCGGAUAAACGCUGAAGGCAUCUAAGCGUGAAGCCGACUUCAAGAUAAGAUCUCCCAUCCGCAAGGAGUAAGGCCCCAUGUAGACCACAUGGUUGA